rnacentral:rRNA from 1 species
UACGGGGGGGGCAAGCGUUGUUCGGAAUUACUGGGCGUAAAGGGUUCGUAGGUGGCCAACUAAGUCAGACGUGAAAUCCCUCAGCUUAACUCGGGAACUGCGCUUGAUACUGUCGAGCUAGAGUGUGGAAGGGGCGAUUGGAAUUCCGUGUGUAGCGGUGAAAUGCGUAGAUAUACGGAGGAACACCAGAGGCGAAGGCGGAUCGCUGGGCCAACACUGACGCUGAUGUGCGAAAGCUAGGGGAGCAAACGGG